rnacentral:rRNA from 1 species
UACGUAGGGGGCGAGCGUUGUCCGGAGUUACUGGGCGUAAAGGGCAUGCAGGCGGUUUGGUAGGUCCGCUGUGAAAACUCGAGGCUCAACCUCGAGACGCCGGUGGAAACCAUCAGACUAGAGUCCGGAAGAGGAGAGUGGAAUUCCUGGCGUAGCGGUGAAAUGCGCAGAUAUCAGGAAGAACACCCGUGGCUAAGGCGGCUCUCUAGUACGGUACUGACGCUGAGACGCGAAAGCGUGGGGAGCGAACAGG